GAUAGAGGUGCGGCUGAUAAAAGUAACCAUCCGGCAGACAGGCAUUGCGGAUGGGGAAAGGAUCCGCCGCCGAAGGGUCGGAACGCUGCCUGGCGAACCGAUGCCUGGGUCGCCGGAAAAGAUCCGGCGGCCUGUCGUCCGGGAACGGACGGGGCGCUGUC
rnacentral:ncRNA from 1 species